AGCCGCCGCCGGAUCACUAUCCCUAUGUCGAGCUUUCUGCAACAAAAGUUGCAGGCUCGACAAAAAAUGACAAUGUUACAGAAUAAACUAUAAAGAUAAUUGAUGCAUUUUGUCUGAAAGAUGAUUGUCUUAACCCUUUCCUCCAUGGAUUUUUUUUUAGCAUACUUGAUUUGCAUAGGUUUUUUUUCAUUAAAAAAAAAUCAUAAGGUUUAAAGUGUUAAUGCAUUGUGAAAACGAAUAUUUCAUCAAUGAAAUUGAAGUCAGAUAUUCUCAUGAAUCUCCUUUUUAUAUUGCAUACAAUUUUUUAAGUCUAAUGCAGACAUUUUGGAGUCAAAGCGUUUCAACUGAGGUACUACACAGGCGUCAUUAUGGAGGAAAGGGUUAAAUAAACUUUUAUUGUUAACAGCCCUUUUCACUUUUACAAUAUAAUGACUAGCAAUUGUUCUUUAAUAAUACAUUGUAUCAUAUUACAAGAGAAAAAGUGUGUUGUAUCAUAUUACAGUCGUGAAAUAUAUCAUACUUCAAUAUUCACUGUAUCGUAUUUCACCAAGCUAUUUUAAGAAAUUCUUACAAGAUAUAUAUCUCCUAGGAAAAUUUCUAUUGC
rnacentral:lncRNA from 1 species